ACUCUCGGCAACGGAUAUCUCGGCUUUCGCAUUAAUGAAGAACGUAGCGAAGUGCGAUACUUGGUGUGAAUUGCAGAAUCCCGUGAACCAUCGAGUCUUUGAAUGGAAGUUGCGCCUGAAGCCAUUAGGUCGAGGGCACAUCUGCCUGGGCAACACACAUCCCGUCGCCCCCCUCGCAUCGCGCCUCCAUCAUGGGGUGCGCUGUCAUCGCGGGGUGGAUACUGGCCUCCCAUGUGCCAAGCACUCACUGCUGGCCUAAAUACGAGUCCACGUCGACGGACAUCGCGGCAAGUGGUGGUUGCAACUAAACUCUCUUUGCCAUCGCGGCUACGGCCCAUCGAGCAUCCCGGACUUCAGGACCCCUUCCCGCUCAGGCGCUCCGACCGUGACCCCAGGUCAGGCGGGAUUACCCGCUGAAUUUAGGCAUAUCAAUAAGCGGAGGAAAAGAGACUUACAAGGAUUCCCUUAGUAACGACGAGCGAAUCGGGAAUAGCCCAGCCUUAGAAUCAGGCAGCUCCGUCGUCCGAAUUGUAGUCUGGAGAGCCGUCAUCAGCGGCGGACCGGGCCCAAGUCCCCUGGAAUGGGGCGUUGGAGAGGGUGAGAGCCCCGUAGUGCCCGGUCACUGUCUCACCACGAGGCGCUGUCUAGGAGUCAGCUUGUUUGGGAAUGCAUCCCAAAUCGGGCGGUGAAUUCCGUCCAAGGCUAAAUACGGGCGAGAGACCGAUAGCUAACAAGUACCGUGAGGGAAAGAUGAAAAGGACUUUGUAAAGAGAGUCAAAGAGUUCUUGAAAUUAUCGAGAGGGAAGCGGAUGGGGGACGGCGAUGCGCCCCGAGAAGGAUGUAGAACGGUGAUGAGCCGGUCUGCCAAUUGACUCAGUACGUGGACCAGCGUCGAUUGGGGGGGGGCUAAAUCCCGGGCUCUCGAAUGCUCGUGGAACACCAUCUCCUCGAUUGUGGCAGGCAGCGUGCGCCUCUGGUAUGCUUCGGCAUCUGCGUGCUCCAGACGCUGGCCUGUGGGCUCCCCAUUCGACCCGUCUUGAAACACGGACCAAGGAUUCUGACAUGUGUGCGAGUCAACGGGCGAGUAUACCCGUAUGGCGAAACAAAGCUAAUUGGUGGGAUCCCCUCGAGGGGUGCACCGCUGAUCGACCUUGAUCUUUUGAGAAGGGUUCGAGUGUGAGCAUACCUGUCGGGACCCCUCAGGUGGAGGCCCACAGCGAUUCUAACAUGCAAAUCGUUCGUCUGACUUGGGUAUAGGGGCGAAAUACUAAUCGAACUGUCUAGUUGCUGGUUCCCUCCAAAGUUUCCCUCAGGAUAGCUGGAGCUCGCGUGCAAGUUCUAUCGGGUAAAGCUAAUUAUUAGAGGCCUCAGGGACGCAAUGCCCUCGACCUAUUCUCAAACAUUAAAUAGGUAGGAAGGCGCGACUGCUUGGUUGAGCCACACCACGGAAUCAAGAGGUCCAAGUGGGCCAUUUUUUGUAAGCAGAACUGGCGAUGUGGGAUGAACCUAAAGCCGAGUUACGGUGCCAAACUGCACGCUAACCUAGAUCCCACAAAGGGUGUUGGUCGAUUAAGACAGCAGGACGGUGGUCAUGGAAGUCGAAAUCCGCUAAGGAGUGUGUAACAACUCACCUGCCGAAUAAACUAACCUCAAAAAUGGAUGGUUCUUAAGUGCGCGACCUAUACCCGGUCGUCGAGGCAAAUGCCAGGCCCCGAUGUGUAGGAUGGCGCGACAGUCACUGCAAAACCAUGGGCGCGAUCCCGGGCGGAGCGGCCGUCGGUGCAGAUCUUGGUGCUGGUCACAAAUAUUCAAAUGAGUACUUUGAAGGCCAAAGAGGGGAAAGGUUCCAUGUUAACGGCACCUGCACAUGUCUUAGUCGAUCCUAAGGGUCGGGGAAACGCCGACAGACAGCGCAUUUUGCGCCUGCUCCGAAAAGGAAUCGGGUUAAAAUUCCUGAACUGGGAUGUGGCGGUCGACGACAACAUUAGGAAGUCCAGAGACAUCGGUGGGAGCCUCGAGAAGAGUUAUCUUUUCUGUUUAACAUCCUGCCCACCCUAGACUCGGCUCAGCCAGAGGUAGGGUCCAGCGGCUGGAAGAGCACCGCACAUCGCGUGGUGUCCGGUGCGCUCCCGAUGGCCCUAGAAAAUCUGGAGGACCGAAUGUCGUCCAUGCCCGGUCAUACUCAUAACCACAUCAAGUCUCCAAGGUGAACAACCUCUAGUCUAUGGAACAAUGUAGGCAAGGGAAGUUAGCAAAAUGGAUCCGUAACUUCGGGAAAAGGAUUGGCUCUGAGGGAUAGGCAUGGGGGUCCCAGUCCCGAGCCCAUCGGCUGUUGGUGGACUGCUCGAGAUGCUCCCCGCGCAUUGAACAGCCAACUCAGGACUGGUACAGACAAGGGGAAUCCGACUGUUUAAUUAAAACAAAGCAUUGCGAUGGUCCUAACGGAUGUUCACGCAAUGUGAUUUCUGCUCAGUGCUCUGAAUGUCAAACUGAAGAAAUUCAGCCAAGCUCGGGUAAAUGGCGGGAGUAACUAUGACUCUAUUAAGGUAGCCAAAUGCCUCGUCUUCUAAUUAGUGACGUGCUUGAAUGGAUUAACAAGAUUCCCACUGUCCUUGUCUACUAUCCAUCAAAAUCACAGCCAAGGGAACGGGCUUGGCAGAAUCAGCGGGGAAAGAAGACCCUGUUGAGAUUAACUCUAGUCCGACUUUGUGAAAUGACUUGAGAGGUGUAUUAUAAGUGGGAGACGAAAGGCGAAAGUGAAAUACCACUACUUUUAAUAUUAUUUUACUUAUUCCGUGAAUCGGAAGUGGGGCAAUGCCCCUCUUUUUGGACCCAAGGCUCGCUCUGCGGGCCGAUCCGGGUGGAAGACAUUGUCAGGUGGGGAGUUUAGCUGGGGCGGCACAUCUGUUAAAAGAUAUCAUGUGGAACAGAAGGGUAAAAGCUCGUAUGAUUCUGACUUCCAGUACCAAUACGAACCGUGAAAGCAUGGCCUAACGAUCCUUUAGACCUUCGAAAUUCGAAGGUAGAGGUGUCAAAAAAGUUACCACAGGGACAACUGGCUUGUGGCAGCCAAGCGUUCAUAGAGACGUUCCUUUUUGAUCCUUCGAUGUCGGCUCUUCCUAUCAUUAUGAAGCAGAAUUCACCAAGUGUUGGAUUGUUCACCCACCAAUAGGGAACGUGAGCUGGGUUUAGAUCAUCGUGAGACAGGUUAGUUUACCCUACUGAUGAAAGUGUUGCAAUAGUAAUUCAACCUAGUACGAGAGGAACCGUUGGUUCACACAAUUGGAAAUCGCGCUUGGUUGAAAAGCCAGUGGCGCGAAGCUACCGUGUGAUGGAUUAUGACUGAACACCUCUAAGUCAGAAUUCGGGCUACAAGCAAUGCAUGUGCCCGCCGUCCACUUGCUGACCCUCAGUAGGGGCCUCGUCCCCCAAGGGCAUGUGUCGUUGGCUAAGCCGCCACGGCGGAAGGGUCGCAGUGGCCGCCUUAAAGUACAAGUGAAGUACAAUUUCCAUUGAGCGGCGGGCAGAAUCCAUUGCAGACGACUUAAAUACGCGAGGGGGUAUUGUAAGUGGCAGAGUGGCCUUGCUGCCACGAUC
rnacentral:rRNA from 1 species